rnacentral:tRNA from 1 species
GGGGUUUUAGCUCAGCUGGCUAGAGCGCACGAUUCACAUUCGUGAGGUCACAGGUUCAAGCCCUGUAAACCCCACCA